rnacentral:lncRNA from 1 species
GUUCGUAGACGUGGAGGAGGUUAGUGUUGCUGGGGUCAUGCGGGGGAAAAUGACGUGGAGGAGGUCGCGGAGAAACAGAACGCGAGCUUCUAUGAUGACGCUGAGAUGUGGAUGUGUUCGGCUGGGAUCAAACGUGGAAUAGGGGAUUUGAUUCAUGGGAUUAAUCCGGAAGAAAACUGGCUUGACUCGGAUGAGGAAAGACACGGCUCUGUUGGAAGCUGGAAUUCU